GUUUUUUCUUUCGACAUCCAUGGGUCCUCCGUGGGCUGAAGCCUUGUUCCUCCUUUACUAAGGAAUGGCAACGCCAUCGUUGAACCCUCCACCAGACCUCCCUUUUGCUGCCACCUUGUUCCUGCCCCUCCCUGCCAUCAUUUUCUUGGUUGUUGGCUCCUACCUACUACUCCUUGUCCUGGUUCUGGUCCUUCGUCAGUGUCUGCUGGCUAGAGGUCUUUGUGCCAAUUGCUGUUCCUGUGAAAAGCGGACUUGGCCAAACAUGUGUGAAUGUUGUAUGGCUUGUGCAGAGACAUGUAACUGUGUACUCCCCUCCCCAACCCGCUGUCUGGAUCACUGCUGUUCCUGCACUAAUGGCUGGGAGACAGGGACGUGCUCCAUUCCCCGUCUGUGUCCUCUCUGUGAUUGUGCCUGCACCUACCAGCCCCCAGACUGUCAGAACAUCAACUGCAUUUGUUUUGAGAUCAAAUUGCGUUAAGGUAGCCCAUGUCUUUAAUGAACAAAAAUUUGACUGUGCCUCAGAGGCAGUAUUUGUCCUGGGGAGGAUCUCUUCAUGCAAAUGGUGACAUUUAAAAUGGGCAUUUGCUCAAGUUGGCAAAGUUAACUAUCCCAAAGCAAAAGGGAGAUUUCUUUCUUCUGUUGAUUUUUUACAGCUUUUAUUUUUGUAAUGUAUUUGAUAUUUUUAUAAUAAUUGUUGCAUUUUAUAAUAAAGCAAAUUGUUUAGCCCCUGUGUCUGUCAUUAAUAGAGAAGUAAAUGGAGGCCAUUUGCAGCAGUGAGGUAUUUCGUUGCUAAAUUUUGGCAAAAGUUCAGGCAUUCUCAGGCACUUUUCUUGGACAGCAAGAUCAAAGUUGGAUAUUUGAUGGGCUGAGGUGGAUUGGAAUAGUACCAUUGCUAGUACCUGCAAUGUUUUUGAAAAAAUAUCAUUCACCAGUCUUCCAGUGAAUAAAGGCUUUCUUCCCUGGUCAUGUACUGGAGCAUUUUUUCACUGGCAUAGGAGAUCAUGCUACCUGCUGCCUGAAAGUCUGAUGUAAGUGAUAACUAAAAGUAUAUGUGAUAAGUGUUUAAUACUAUAAGUAAACACUAUACUCCCCUGAAGAACUAGAAGCUAAAGCAGAAAAUAAUUUAGAAUGUAAUUGCCAUGCUUAUCUACACAUUUUAAAGUUUAAAUGAAUCCCAGAUAUAACAUUACUACUUAGGAGAGGGGGGAAAGACAUAUCCACUUUUAAAAUGACAUGUAUGUUCCAUCUUAUAGGAGGGAAGAUGGAACAUACAUGUCAUUUUAAAAGUCAUGGUAAUGAGCCACAGCUUUCAACUUUCAUUCAUGUAAAAAAAACAAACCUAGAAGAGUAUACUUUGCAUGUUUCUGAUAAGAUGUAGUCCUUUAUAUAGUUCAAGUGGCCAGAUCAAGGAGAGAGCCAUGUUUGUCACAAUCCUAUUAUCACAACUAGGACUCCUUGAAAGGUCAAAACUAGGGAUAUCUAUAUAUAUAUAAAAGAGUGAUGGCAUCACGGCGCCCCACAAAACAACAAAACUACAGGCCCCCCAACCUUGAAAUUUGACAACACAACCCAUCAUCCACGCCUCUAGGUUGAUACAACAAAAAGAAAAGAAAAAUAAAGUCCUAAUUAGAGAGAGAGGAAUAAUUGCUUUUAUCCAAUUGCUGCCAGUUAGAAGGCUAAGCUCCUUCAACUUGGUCUCCUAGCAACCCAAUAAAAAUAAUAAAAUACACUAAAAAUUAAUACAAUAAAAUACUAUAAUAACAGAAAAUAACUAAAAAUAAUACAAGAAAAUAAUAAAAUAUAAUAAAUAAAAAUAUAACUUACAAUAAAAUUAAUUAAAAAUUGCAAAUAACGUCAAAUAACAAUUACACAACAAUUUUUAACCAAUACCACCACCACUUUGCCACAGCAACGCGUGGCCGGGCACAGCUAGUGUAUAUUAAAAUUUAUUUUCUCACCUCAAUGUUUGGUUCUGUUGAGUGGCUUUGCAUAGUUUUACUGCAUGUGAUCCAUCUUUUUGCUUUUGUACUCAACUGUGAAUGCAAAAACUGUACUCUCCUUUCUCAAGAUGAUUUAUAACCUUUGUUUUAUCUGAUCAUUUUUAACUGCAUACUCUUAAAGUAACAACAUGCUAAAGUAAUAACAAAGGGACAGAGAUCCCCUUCUCCUUGACAAUGGUUGAAGAAAAAGCUGCACAAUAUUGGUGUGAGGAUAAGUCACAAAUCAUUCUGAAUUGACCAUGGAAAGCAAGGAACAAGUGCAAAGAGGUAAUGCAGAGAAUGGGGGAUAAAGACACUAUUGAAUCUGUGCUGUUAGUUGGAUUAUAGGAUCAUCUUCCAAGCAGCUAAUCUAACUGAGCCUAGAUAUUUCUGCUUACAGCAUGCAUUAACACCCAGGAAAAGAAACAGGUUAAUCGGCUUUCGUACUGGCACCAGCCCAGAUAGGUGACACUAAUUUAUCAAGGUAGGCAAAGUUUGCAGUUUUGCUGGCAUUAUGUUUAUAUUCCUGUUUAAAAAUAACUUCAUAGAUUUGGUUGUAGGUAUAUAGAGAUGCCCCAUUCUACUAUUUCUUCCAUCCACUCUCCUAUUGUAUGCAUUGGCCAAUUAUUGGACACUUAUAUGGUUUCAGCAAGAGAUUCAAUCUCAUGGUUCAACUUCUGGCUUUACUGGCCUUGAAAUUAUGAAACAGCAGAUUUCUAACUUUUUUUCCUAUUUAUAAUUUAUUGCUUUAAUAUCCUCCCUUUUCUCUGAGGAACUCAAAAUAGUAUGCAUUUCAAUGUGUUGUCGAAGGCUUUCAUGGCCGGAGUCACUGGGUUGCUGUGAGUUUAUGCGUUUCCUAUCUUAUUCCUACAACAGAUAGAUAGGCUGAGAGAGCCAUUGACAGAAGGUUAUUGAGUUUAAUGGCUCAGUGGAGAUUCCAGCCUGGAUCUUGGUCAUCUCAGCCCAAGAUAAAUGACCACUACACCAACCUGGCUUUGAUGAAUUUCAUGGUGAUGUUGUUCACCAUCAAGUCAAAGUCAACUUUUGGCAAUCGUAUGAACGAGAGGCCUCCAAGGCAAAUCUCAUCAACUGACUCACUUAGAUUCUUCAAACUGUGUUCUUGAUUGAAUUAAUCCACAUAUAGAGCAGUCUCUUUGUUACUCACACCUUCUACUUUUUCAAGCAUUCUCUUUUCCAAAGUCAUGUAGUCUCGUAACUUCAGUUGGGUCAUCUUUAUUUCUAGUGAGAGUUUAGGCUUUAAUAGCUCUUAGACACAUCAGUUGUCUUUUUCGCGGUCUAUGAUAUAUGUAGAACUCAGCUGCCUCAAACUCAAGACUUCAAAUGAGCUGAGCCUCUAUCAGGUUCCUUCACUAAAUAGCUUUCACACCAUACCUGAAAAUCAUACUAUCACAGAGUUGGAAGGAGCCUCCUGGGAUGUGAGGUGCAACCCUGUGGUCAAUAAGGAUUUUCAAUCCUAGCGUCCUCAAUAGGGAGCUGCCCAGCCUCUGCUUUAACACAUCCAAAGAAGGAGACCUCAUCUCUCCAGACAAUUGGCUCCAUUGCCAACAUGCUUUUACUGCCAAGAGGCUCCUUCCAAUAUGCAAUCGAAAUUUACUCUCCUGCAAUCAAGCCAGCUUCUUUUAGUGCUUUUGAGUAUUAGACUACGAACAGUUUGAAUUACCAUUCAUCUAUGAACGCCCUUCGGUUGACUUUGGGCAAGUCACACUCUUUCAGCUUCAGAGGACGGCAAUGGCAAACCUCUCCUGAACAAAUCUUGCCAAGAAAAUCAUGGGAUACGUUUGCCUUAGGUCGGAAACAACUUGAAGGCACACAACAUAGCAUUUUAACUUUAGUUUAAACUUAGUUAUACAUAUAUAUUUGUAUAUAUCUUGUUCUAUCUCUUUUUCUUUGAAUUCUUUGUGUUGUAAAGUGUGUAUUUGUAUAUAUUUAGGUAUAUGUAGAUAUAUGGUUUAAUUUUCUCUCUGUAUAUAUGUGUUUAUAUCGUGUGUGUGUAUAUAUACAUAUAUACACACACACAUAUAUAUGAAGUUGACUUUUAUGGGGCUUAAAAAGGC
rnacentral:lncRNA from 11 species